CCGCCCAAAAAAGAAACCCGAAAAAUGACGAAGUCCUGGAAUCUUCUGGGCGCCGCGAGCCUUUCACGCCCUCUCUAGCUUCGCCGCCGGCCGCCAGCUCCGUUGGUGGCCACUGCCGGUCUUCCAUCUCCGAUCACGGAAGACGCAAGGAGCUCAAACCUAGAUCCUCUCGAUUUCCUCUCUCGUCUGAGCAACAUCGAGAAUUGUGCGAGCAGGCCGGUGGAUUCAUCGGUGCAAAUGCUUCUUGGAGGUCGGAGACAGAAGCUCGAGGCCCACGACUGAGUGUUCCGUCGGCCGGUGGCGUCGAAUUGCAAAGAGGCUCACGUUGCUGAGUUCGACGAUCAACUUCGGCUCCAUUUCAAUCGCCGUGGUAUGCACUUCGUGUUAUGCAGGGAGAGAGAGAAGAAUCGAGAAAUCUUCGUAGACGGCCAGUUCCUUAGGACGUUCCAACGAUGAUGGAAUUUGUCCAUCAAUUAUCACAGUCAUCAAAUCGUUUCUUUCCCGAUUAAACUCGUGUGUCAAAUUUCGAAUUCCUUUUUCAUAGCCGCAAAUGAGAGUCACUGUUUCUUCGGUCCAUAAGGUUGCUGGUGCUAAUUGGUUCGAGAGUACUGGUUUGAGUUCAAUGCGGUGGUGUCAAGGUAUGGGAGGUGUCAUGUGUUAGACGACGCACAGAAGGUAUUCAGUGAAAUUAUCCGAGACAAGGAUCAGUAAUGUUGCCUUGCGGAAUUCAAUUAUGCUUAGCCAGGAACUGUAGGAAUGCGCUCAUCUCAGUUAGAGCAUUCGGAUUCCAACAAAUAAGCCAAGUCAAACAUCUCCUUUUACGUAUGAUCAUGUGCGAUUUUGCUUCAUGUUCUGUUUUCGUACUCA